UGGGGAUUAGCCAAGCGGUAAGGCAACGGACUUUGACUCCGUCAUUCCAUAGGUUCGAAUCCUAUAUCCCCAGCCA
rnacentral:tRNA from 2 species